ensembl:snRNA U6 U6 spliceosomal RNA
AUGCUUCUUGGUUCAGCAGCACAUAUACUAAAAUUUGAAUGCUAUAGAGAAAACUAGUUUGGCCCUUGUGCAAGGAUUACACACAAUUUCAUGAAGAGUUCCAUAUUUUU